rnacentral:rRNA from 1 species
GUAGCUAAAACCGGAUAGGUAUGAGGGAGUCAUCUUCCUCAUAUUAAAGCACCUUCGGGUGUGAACAUGGAUGGACUUGCGGCGCAUUUAGCUGGUUGGUGAGGUAACGGCCCACCAAGGCGAUGAUGCGUAGCCGACCUGAGAGGGUGAACGGCCACAUUGGGACUGAGACACGGCCCAAACUCCUACGGGAGGCAGCAGUAGGGAAUUUUCGUCAAUGGGGGGAACCCUGAACGAGCAAUGCCGCGUGUGUGAAGAAGGUCUUCGGAACGUAAAGCACUGUUGUAAGUGAAGAAUGCCACAUAGAGGAAAUGCUAUGUGGGUGACGGUAGCUUACCAGAAAGCCACGGCUAACUACGUGCCAGCAGCCGCGGUAAUACGUAGGUGGCAAGCGUUAUCCGGAAUCAUUGGGCGUAAAGGGUGCGUAGGUGGCACGAUAAGUCUGAAGUAAAAGGCAACAGCUCAACUGUUGUAUGCUUUGGAAACUGUCGAGCUAGAGUGCAGAAGAGGGCGAUGGAAUUCCAUGUGUAGCGGUAAAAUGCGUAGAUAUAUGGAGGAACACCAGUGGCGAAGGCGGUCGCCUGGUCUGUAACUGACACUGAUGCACGAAAGCGUGGGGAGCAAAUAGGAUUAGAUACCCUAGUAGUCCACGCCGUAAACGAUGAGAACUAAGUGUUGGAGAGAUUCAGUGCUGCAGUUAACGCAAUAAGUUCUCCGCCUGGGGAGUAUGCACGCAAGUGUGAAACUCAAAGGAAUUGACGGGGGCCCGCACAAGCGGUGGAGUAUGUGGUUUAAUUCGAAGCAACGCGAAGAACCUUACCAGGCCUUGACAUGGAUAUAAAUGUUCUAGAGAUAGAAAGAUAGCUAUAUAUCACACAGGUGGUGCAUGGUUGUCGUCAGCUCGUGUCGUGAGAUGUUGGGUUAAGUCCCGCAACGAGCGCAACCCUUGUCUUCUGUUACCAGCAUUAGGUUGGGGACUCAGGAGAGACUGCCGGUGACAAACCGGAGGAAGGUGGGGAUGACGUCAAAUCAUCAUGCCCCUUAUGGCCUGGGCUACACACGUACUACAAUGGCGCCUACAAAGAGCAGCGACACCGCGAGGUGGAGCGAAUCUCAUAAAGGGCGUCUCAGUUCGGAUUGAAGUCUGCAACUCGACUUCAUGAAGUCGGAAUCGCUAGUAAUCGCAGAUCAGCAUGCUGCGGUGAAUACGUUCUCGGGCCUUGCACA